UUGGUAAGGUAACGGCUUACCAAGACAACGAUCAUUAGGGGUUCUGAGAGGAAGGUCCCCCACACUGGUACUGAGACACGGACCAGACUCCUACGGGAGGCAGCAGUGAGGAAUAUUGGUCAAUGAGCGAGAGCUUGAACCAGCCACGUCGCGUGCAGGAAGAAUGUCUUAUGGAUUGUAAACUGCUUUUUCGGUAGAGUAACGUGCGUCACGUGUGGCGUAUUGCAAGUAUACCGAGAAUAAGGAUCGGCUAACUCCGUGCCAGCAGCCGCGGUAAUACGGAGGAUCCGAGCGUUAUCCGGAUUUAUUGGGUUUAAAGGGUACGUAGGCGGGAUGAUAAGUCAGCGGUGAAAUUUUGCAGCUUAACUGUAAGCUUGCCGUUGAAACUAUUAUUCUUGAGUGUAGAUAAGGUAGGCGGAAUGUGUUGUGUAGCGGUGAAAUGCUUAGAUAUAACACAGAACACCAAUUGCGAAGGCAGCUUACCGGGUUACCGCUGACGCUGAGGUACGACAGCGUGGGGAUCAAACAGGAUUAGAUACCCUGGUAGUCCACGCCGUAAACGAUGAAUACUCGCUGUUUGCGAUAUACAGCAAGC
rnacentral:rRNA from 1 species